AUCAAAAUUAAGGCUCAAAGAGUAUCCUACUAGCUUAGGUAUUUGAACAAACAAAAAUAGCCCAAUGUAGUUUAAUUUACCUCAAGCAAUUUCAGCUCGCCCUUCCCCAAGGCAAGCCUUAGCAUGAGUUCUGAAACUGUAUUUCACAAAUACAAAUAUAACAAUGGUAACUCCUCCGACUAUUAGCUGAGGAGAUUUUUGGAUAUUGGU
rnacentral:misc_RNA from 1 species